UGCGUAGGCGGUUGGGUAAGUCAGAGGUGAAAUUCCGGGGCUCAACCUCGGAACUGCCUUUGAUACUGCCUGACUAGAGUACUGGAGAGGAGACUGGAAUUCACGGUGUAGCAGUGAAAUGCGUAGAUAUCGUGAGGAAGACCAGUGGCGAAGGCGAGUCUCUGGACAGUUACUGACGCUGAGGCACGAAGGCUAGGGGAGCAAAC
rnacentral:rRNA from 1 species